rnacentral:rRNA from 1 species
UACGUAGGCAGCGAGCGUUGUUUCGGAGUUACUGGGCGUAAAGGGUGUGUAGGCGGUUCUUUAAGUUUGGUGUGAAAUCUCCCGGCUCAACCGGGAGGGUGCGCCGAAAACUGGGGGACUAGAGUGCGGGAUGGGAGAGUAGAAUUCCUGGUGUAGCGGUGAAAUGCGUAGAUAUCAGGAGGAACACCGGUGGUGUAGACGGCUUUCUGGACCGUAACUGACGCUGGAGACACGAAAGCGUGGGUAGCAAACAGG